UCCACGUCUCAGCCCAGAUCUGGAAGGAAGAUUGAGAGUUGAAAAUUACCCACAUAGCCAUGAUAACCAAAGCUUUGCUAGCGCCUGCGGUCACCAGGAAGCCUGGAGCAGAACCUUGAGGACAUCACGUGUAAGGAACGGCGCCAAAGAAAGGGAAGGGUAAAAGGGCCAAGGCGGAGUGGCUGGAUGGUUAGGAGGAGAAACAGAAGAGGUUGAUGGUGUCCUAGAGCCAGAAGGGAGCCUUUCAAGGGGGGUGAUGACUGGUGCCGUCAAACACUAGCGACGAAUCAAUAAACGCUGAAAAGCAGCUCUCGGAUUCCACUCUUCCACUCGGAAGCUGAACACCCUUCCCUUCUUGCUCACCUAAACUUACUCCUCCUGCAAAACUGGGGUCACCCAUUGCCAUCACUGUAGCCGUUCCUGACUUCUCAAAUCCAAGGUCUCAUAAGUGUCUUCAAAGAUAAUCUCCUCGGCUGCAGUGCCUUCGCAGCUGCUUCUCCUUCUCUCUGAGUUCUACCAAGACACAAAUCUUAACUCAGAGGGCCCAAGGCUCCAAAUAAUAAGAACAGAUGUCUGUCUGGGGUCCCCGCCAUAAGCAACUAGAUGUAAUGCUCAUCCCUUUGAAAGGGACCUUGGUGCUGGUUUCAAAACCAUGGCUUGAUGUUUUCCACUUUAAAUACUUUCAGCCUAAGAAGAAAUUAGAAUUUACAAAUAGUACGGGUUUUUUGUGUGUCCUGCUAUAAAGUUUUUGGACAGGGUGAAGGUCAUUGCAAGGCUUUUAUACAACGGCAGAACUCUGAAGGAAGACUGGGCAACGUAUGCCAGGUGAAGAAUUGUACAGACUAAGCACUAGUACAAGAGUCAGGGGACUUAGCUUCUCUUUCUUUUCGAGGCUUUAGUUUCUUCAUCUG